rnacentral:tRNA from 1 species
CGGGGAGUAGCGCAGCCUGGUAGCGCGCUUGGUUCGGGACCAAGAGGGCGCCGGUUCAAUUCCGGUCUCCCCGA